rnacentral:rRNA from 1 species
ACCUACGGGAGGCAGCAGUGAGGAAUAUUGGUCAAUGGGCGGAAGCCUGAACCAGCCAAGUCGCGUGAGGGAAUAAGGCCCUACGGGUCGUAAACCUCUUUUGCCGGGGAGCAAGGGCCGGGACGCGUCCCGGCCCGGAGAGUACCCGGAGAAAAAGCAUCGGCUAACUCCGUGCCAGCAGCCGCGGUAAUACGGAGGAUGCGAGCGUUAUCCGGAUUUAUUGGGGUUAAAGGGUGCAUAGGCGGGCUUUUAAGUCAGCGGUAAAAAUUCGGGGCUCAACCCCGCCCGGCCGUUGGAACUGGGGG